rnacentral:rRNA from 1 species
UCGAGCGAGUCUGCCUUGAAGAUCGGAGUGCUUGCACUCUGUGAAACAAGAUACAGGCUAGCGGCGGACGGGUGAGUAACACGUGGGUAACCUGCCCAAGAGAUCGGGAUAACACCUGGAAACAGAUGCUAAUACCGGAUAACAACAGAUGAUGCCUAUCAACUGUUUAAAAGAUGGUUCUGCUAUCACUCUUGGAUGGACCUGCGGUGCAUUAGCUAGUUGGUAGGGUAACGGCCUACCAAGGCGAUGAUGCAUAGCCGAGUUGAGAGACUGAUCGGCCACAUUGGGACUGAGACACGGCCCAAACUCCUACGGGAGGCAGCAGUAGGGAAUCUUCCACAAUGGACGCAAGUCUGAUGGAGCAACGCCGCGUGAGUGAAGAAGGGUUUCGGCUCGUAAAGCUCUGUUGUUGGUGAAGAAGGACAGGGGUAGUAACUGACCUUUGUUUGACGGUAAUCAAUUAGAAAGUCACGGCUAACUACGUGCCAGCAGCCGCGGUAAUACGUAGGUGGCAAGCGUUGUCCGGAUUUAUUGGGCGUAAAGCGAGUGCAGGCGGCUCGAUAAGUCUGAUGUGAAAGCCUUCGGCUCAACCGGAGAAUUGCAUCAGAAACUGUCGAGCUUGAGUACAGAAGAGGAGAGUGGAACUCCAUGUGUAGCGGUGAAAUGCGUAGAUAUAUGGAAGAACACCGGUGGCGAAGGCGGCUCUCUGGUCUGUUACUGACGCUGAGGCUCGAAAGCAUGGGUAGCGAACAGGAUUAGAUACCCUGGUAGUCCAUGCCGUAAACGAUGAGUGCUA